rnacentral:rRNA from 1 species
GGCUCAGAUUGAACGCGGGCGGCAUGCUUUACACAUGCAAGUCGAACGCGAAAGAGGGGGCAACUCCUUGAGUAGAGUGGCGAACGGGUGAGUAAUACAUCGGAACGUACCCAGUCGUGGGGGACAACCAGUCGAAAGACUGGCUAAUACCGCAUACGCAGGAGACUGGAAAGGGGGCGCCCGCAAGGGGCUCUCGCGAUUGGAGCGGCCGAUGUCCGAUUAGCUAGUUGGUGGGGUAAGAGCCCACCAAGGCGACGAUCGGUAGCUGGUCUGAGAGGAUGAUCAGCCACACUGGGACUGAGACACGGCCCAGACUCCUGCGGGAGGCAGCAGUGGGGAAUUUUGGACAAUGGGCGAAAGCCUGAUCCAGCCAUGCCGCGUGAGGGAAGAAGGCCUUCGGGUUGUAAACCUCUUUCGGCCGGGACGAAAUCGCAUCGGUUAAUACCCGGUGUGGAUGACGGUACCGGAAGAAGAAGCACCGGCUAACUACGUGCCAGCAGCCGCGGUAAUACGUAGGGUGCGAGCGUUAAUCGGAAUUACUGGGCGUAAAGCGUGCGCAGGCGGUUUUUUAAGCCAGACGUGAAAGCCCCGGGCUUAACCUGGGAAUGGCGUUUGGGACUGGAAGGCUGGAGUACGGCAGAGGGAGGUGGAAUUCCACGUGUAGCAGUGAAAUGCGUAGAGAUGUGGAGGAACACCGAUGGCGAAGGCAGCCUCCUGGGCCAGUACUGACGCUCAUGCACGAAAGCGUGGGGAGCAAACAGGAUUAGAUACCCUGGUAGUCCACGCCCUAAACGAUGCGAACUAGUCGUUGGGGGAGCAAUCCCUUAGUGACGCAGCUAACGCGUGAAGUUCGCCGCCUGGGGAGUACGGUCGCAAGAUUAAACUCA